CCCGCUGAGUUUAAGCAUAUAAAUAAGCGGAGGAGAAGAAACUUACGAGGAUUCCCCUAGUAACGGCGAGCGAACCGGGAGCAGCCCAGCUUGAGAAUCGGGCGGCCUCGCCGCCCGAAUUGUAGUCUGGAGAGGCGUCCUCAGCGACGGACCGGGCCCAAGUUCUCUGGAAAGGGACGCCUGGGAGGGUGAGAGCCCCGUCCGGCCCGGACCCUGUCGCACCACGAGGCACAGUCAACGAGUCGGGUUGUUUGGGAAUGCAGCCCAAAUCGGGCGGUAAACUCCGUCCAAGGCUAAAUACAGGCGAGAGACCGAUAGCGAACAAGUACCGCGAGGGAAAGAUGAAAAGGACUUUGAAAAGAGAGUCAAAGAGUGCUUGAAAUUGCCGGGAGGGAAGCGGAUGGGGGCUGGCGACGCGCACCGGCCGUAUGCGGAAUGGCUCCUGCUAGUCCGCCGAUCGGCUCGGGGCGUGGACCGUUGUCGCCCGCGCCGGCGGCCAAAGCCCGGGGGCCCUAGGCGCCCCCGGCAGUCGUCGUCGGCACAGACGGUAUCCGCGCGCCUCUGGCGCGCCCCUCGGGGCGCUGCGCCGCAACGGCCUGCGAGCUCCCCAUCCGACCCGUCUUGAAACACGG
rnacentral:ncRNA from 1 species